UAAUAGUUUAUAUUACAAAACAUUUCAUUUUCACUGAAAAAAAAUUAAAUAAUUAAUUUAUAAAAAACUU
rnacentral:tRNA from 1 species